rnacentral:lncRNA from 1 species
UAAGGACUUCAAGGAUGGCAAGUCCAGCCUCAGCGCGGCUCAGAGCCUUGGGCUCCUCGGCGGUGAUCUCAACCUUGUCCUGCUGCAUGUCCACCAGCCUGCCGACAGGAUUAUGAACGGUAAAAAAAAAACAUGCAUCAACUUUGAUUUGUUUUAAUCUCACUUUGUAUCUAGAUCUUGUUCUUUUCUAGAGCCUAAUUCACAUUACAAACAAAAUAAGGCACUAGUACAAUUUUUAAUCCCCAGCGUUAUGUCACUCAACGUAGCAAUCGCUUCAGAGAGAUAAAUAAGACAUCUAUACUAUUGGUUCUUUAUUAUUAUGGCCACCUAGGUCAGAGCAUGCCCACCUAAAGUUUCAUUGAAUUUAACAUUGCUAGUUUUGCACAGGCUAUGUGCAAAGAUUAAACACACAUAUAUGAACUUAAUAACAUCGCUACAUGUUUUCUCUGUUAAUUGCUCUGCAGGAUUAUGCAAGGUUCCUGCAAGCCAGCUAGAAGAAAAGGAACUCAAAGCAUACAGGAAGAUUGAACAGGACGAGAUGAACACGCUUCUGAACCAGUAUAUGACUUACUGCAGGCUGUAUCUGAAGGUCCGUCGAUCAGUAUUCUAUUUCUUAGAUCAUUGCGAAGUUUUACUUAUCAAGGUUUCUACUUUUAGCUCCGGAUGCUGGUCAACUUGGGAUUAUCUCCAGGGGUAAAAAACAAAGUUUUAGAUUACGAUGUAUUUAUGUAAGGCCUAGUUGAAAAACAAAUUUAGUGACACACAUGGAAAAAAGAAUUUAAACCAACUAGUAAUAAGAAAUAUGCUAAGCCUACCUUUUUUUUCCUUUUACCUUUUCCUUUAUGACUAACCAGGAGUGGUUUGUAUUACCGUUAUAUGUCAUCUCACUAAACAUUAACUUUACAGGUGCAAGCAGAAACACUGGUCAUUGAGAAGAACAAUGUCGCAAAUGGCAUCGUAGAGCUAAUUAAUCAGCAUAGCAUCACAAAGCUUGUCAUGGGAAUGUCUUCCUUCUCAACGUAUGCAGAGAUGCAAUUAUUCAUAUAUUACAAUGAGGAUUUAUCAUAAAUAAUAAUAAUUUAUUCCUAAAUUGCACGGAUUAUAGACAUAUAUGCACCAUCUUUAUUUUAUUGGAAUAUCAGGGAAACAUCUGAGUUGUGCAAUUAUUAUGUUCAUUUUGUUAAUAGCUGCAUCUUUCGCUUUUCCAUAUUAAUAAGCAAAGGCAACAGGUUUUAUUUUUUAUUUUUGAUAAGAAAGGCCACAAAAUUGAUAACUGAUAGCCAACAAAAUGAUACUUCUUGCUAAAAUAGCAAAGUAUCUGCAAUAAAAUCCAGUGUUUUUGUUUCUUGCAUACUAGUUAGGUACAUGGCAAUCACAAGGUAGCAUUGAACUUCUGAUUAGCAAAACAUGAUUUAUUAGUUAUCAUCACUCCGUUUAAAUUAGAGGUCAGCUCUUGCAUUUAUCGUAGAUUGCUACGUUCUUAUGCUGAACAUUAGUUUCCAUGAACAGGAAGAGGAAAGUACCCAAGUCAAAAGUUGCAGCCAUUGUGCAUCAACAGGCCAAACCGUAUUGCCAGAUAUUCUUCAUUUGCAAAGGAUCUCUUGCUUGCACUAGGUAUGAACCCUUCAUGUGUCCCUGCAGCAUGAAGCCAAUUAAAUAGCAAUUCCAACUCAAGCAAUGACCCACCAUUAUUUUUUUGGGCAAACUGGUAAAAAAAUAUUAUUUUGGUUCAUCAUCAUUUUCAGGGAUGCCAAUCUGGAUUCUAUAAAAGCUGAUUCACCCAGAAGCAGUUCUGCAAGCACUCUGUCAGAUGAAACUGAGUUACCUGCAAGAUCAGUGUCACUUCCACCAGGGCAUCCUGGUUACAUGGGCUCUCCUGAUCAACCAUUCCUUCCUCGACGGUCAAAUUCAGUUAGUUACCC